rnacentral:tRNA from 1 species
AAUUCCUGCUCGGCCUUUCUCCGAGAUCUACGGCCUGAAAAGCCAUCGUUACAAGACUUUAACUACAGAAAC